rnacentral:tRNA from 2 species
ACAUCGAUGGUGAAACGGUAUCAUGCUUGCCUUCCAUUGCUGUGAGCAAGCGGCACGGGUUCGACUCCCGUUCGAUGUA